GCCACGCGGCCUAUAAAGUACGUUUAAUUAAAAAACAGCUUUGUUUUAAUUAAAAAAAAAAAAAAAGGCCAAGCACAGUGGCUCACGCCUGUAAUCCCAGCACUUCGGGAGGCCAAGGUGGGCAGAUCACCUGAGGUUGGGAGUUCGAGACCAGCCUGACCAACAUGAAGAAACCCCGUCCCUACUGAAAAUACAAAAUUAGUAGUGGCGCCUGCCUAUAAUCCCAGCUACUCGGGAGGCUGAGGCGAGAGAAUCACUUGAACCGAGGAGGCGGAGGUUGUGGUGAGUGGAGAUCACACCAUUGCACUCAGCCUGGGCAACAAAAGCAAAACUCCAUCUCUAAAUAGAUAACUAACUAAAUAAAUAAAUAAAUAAAAUAAACCAAAAUGAAGACAGGUACAGUGACUCACGCCUAUAACCCUAGCUAUUCAGAGGCUGAGGCAGAAGAUCGCUUGAGCCCAGGAGUUCAAGUCCAGCCUGAGCAACAUAGCAAAACCCCAUCUCAAAAAAAAAA
rnacentral:lncRNA from 10 species